AUGGAGUCCGCAACGGUGCAGGGCAAUGAGCGCGGCGGCGAGCCGGGCGCGACCGGUGCGUGUUAUGGGUGCGCAUGGGACCGCGUCGGGCGCAUCGGGACCGCGGGAGUGGACCUCGUCAAGGCGCUGGACCUGGUUGCGCAGAUCGCGUACGUGCGCGGCGGGAGCGCGGGCCGGGAACGCGGGGACGUGGGGAGUGCGCGCGAAGGGCAAGGCGGUCGCGGAGACGAGGAGGUCGCGAAGGACCUGCGUGGUGGCGCAGCGGUCGCGGCGGCUCGGCGCGAAAAUCGUGGAGGCACGUGGCACGGAGCCGCGGCGCUCGUGUCGGAUGCGUCAAGCGUGUGUAUGGGCGCGCGCCGGGCGUGUCAGGCGCGGCGGGACCAUGGUGUAGGGUGGCCGUUGGCGAGCGGGGGUGUGCGCGUUGAGCUGGUCCAUCGCGGGCUCGCCGCGCCCAGACGUGUGCGUGCAUGUCUGAGGGGGCGCGGGCAGAGCGGGCGGGGCGGGCGCUCGACGUGGGCUGGGACGUGGGUGCGUGCCCGGCGCGUCCCUGGGUAUAAAACCCCUCAUGUACGUUGUAAUGGCAGUGCCCGGAGUCGAGUUCGAGCUCGAGGGAAUCAAGGUCGUUGGUGCGCCAGGAAGAGAAGCUGCGGCGUGUGUCGCCGGAGAUGA
rnacentral:rRNA from 1 species